CAGCUUUCCACUUGCAGAGCUUGCUAUACAACGCUCUUCUGCUUUUGCCAACGGUAGCCGCAGUCGGAAGAGGAUGCCAGCCUGGGUUCCUGGGUAGGCAGCACAGUUCCAACAAUAUCAGUAGCUUCGUAAGCACCAAUACUCCUGGGCCCCGACUCCUGCCAUGUCUGGAACAUGGGCUCUUGGAUCCUGUACCAUCGGCGACAGUGUGAGCUCUUGGGAUCCUGAAAAAUACCAGAAGCCGUGCUAACUGCGGCAUGACGGUAGGAGAAACUGGCAUCCUCAGCAGCAUAGCUAUAUGAACGUGAGUCACACCAUUCUCCUGUUGUUCCUUUGGCUGAGGAAGUAGUGAGAGUGUCCUGCAGUUACUGAGAGUUGUCCUUCACCCA
rnacentral:lncRNA from 1 species